AACGAACGCUGGCGGCAUGCCUAACACAUGCAAGUCGAACGAGACCUUCGGGUCUAGUGGCGCACGGGUGCGUAACGCGUGGGAACCUGCCCUUAGGUUCGGAAUAACCCCCCGAAAGGGGUGCUAAUACCGGAUAAUGUCUUCGGACCAAAGAUUUAUCGCCUUUGGAUGGGCCCGCGUUGGAUUAGCUAGUUGGUAGGGUAAAAGCCUACCAAGGCGACGAUCCAUAGCUGGUCUGAGAGGAUGAUCAGCCGCACUGGGACUGAGACACGGCCCAGACUCCUACGGGAGGCAGCAGUGGGGAAUAUUGGACAAUGGGCGAAAGCCUGAUCCAGCAAUGCCGCGUGAGUGAUGAAGGCCUUAGGGUUGUAAAGCUCUUUUACCCGGGAUGAUAAUGACAGUACCGGGAGAAUAAGCUCCGGCUAACUCCGUG
rnacentral:rRNA from 1 species